GGUUUUUAAUAUUGCUGGGACAAAGGGUAUUCAUAUCACUGUUUACAACAUUCAACCACGAAGUUCUGUUUUCUUAAACUUAACUAAAAGGUGGAGAAUUACACUUCCCUGGCCAGGUAUGAUAUAUAAAGUACAUAUUUAUGUCAUUAGUGGAACCCAGCUUGAGAUAAAUUAAUGGAGCUUCCAUAAACUUUGUCUUUAUUCUCAUUAGGAGCCAGCUUUUGGCAAAAAAAAAAAAAAAAAAAAAAAAAGCCUAUUUUUUCUGUUACUCAUACUUAUAUGCUACCCAGAAGUCUCUGGCCUAGCCAGGAGAUUUUAAAUAAUUGAAGUAAUUCAUGUUUUCAUUUUAGGGUUCACCUUUAGAUGUUCUUAAGGAUGAAAGGGUUCAGUACUGGAUUGAGAAUUAUAGAAAUCUAUUAGAUGCCUGGAGAUUUUGGCAUAAACGAGCUGAAUUUGAUAUUCACAGGAGUAAGCUGGAUCCCAGUUCCAAGCCUUUAGCACAGGUUUUUGUGAGUUGCAAUUUCUGUGGCAAGUCAAUCUCCUACAGCUGUUCAACUGUGCCUCAUCAGGGCAGAGGUUUUAGUCAGUAUGGUGUGAGUGGCUCACCAACAAAAUCUAAAGUCACAAGUUGUCCUGGCUGUCGAAAACCCCUUCCUCGAUGUGCGCUUUGUCUUAUUAAUAUGGGAA